rnacentral:rRNA from 2 species
UACGAAGGGGGCUAGCGUUGCUCGGAAUUACUGGGCGUAAAGGGCGCGUAGGCGGACAGUUUAGUCAGAGGUAAAAGCCCAGGGCUCAACCUUGGAACUGCCUUUGAUACUGGCUGUCUUGAGUUCGGGAGAGGUGAGUGGAAUGCCGAGUGUAGAGGUGAAAUUCGUAGAUAUUCGGCGGAACACCAGUGGCGAAGGCGACUCACUGGCCCGAUACUGACGCUGAGGCGCGAAAGCGUGGGGAGCAAACAGG